rnacentral:rRNA from 1 species
CAGCAGUACUCAUACGGGAGGCAGCAGUGGGGAAUAUUGCACAAUGGGCGCAAGCCUGAUGCAGCGACGCCGCGUGAGGGAUGACGGCCUUCGGGUUGUAAACCUCUUUCAGCAGGGAAGAAGCGCGAGUGACGGUACCUGCAGAAGAAGCACCGGCUAACUACGUGCCAGCAGCCGCGGUAAUCGUGCCAGCAGCCGCGGUAAUA